GCUUAGCAUAUCAAUAAGCGGAGGAACAGCAGUAGAGACCAACAGGGAUUGCCCUAGUAACGGCGAGUGAAGCGGCAAGAGCUCAAAUUUGAAAUCUGGCUCCUUUGGAGUCCGAGUUGUAAUUUGUAGAGGGUGCUUUGGUGUCGGCUAUGGCCUAAGUUCCUUGGAACAGGACGUCACAGAGGGUGAGAACCCCGUAUGUGGCUGCUAGCCUUCACCAUGUAAAGCCCCUUCGACGAGUCGAGUUGUUUGGGAAUGCAGCUCUAAAUGGGAGGUAAAUUUCUUCUAAAGCUAAAUAUUGGCCAGAGACCGAUAGCGCACAAGUAGAGUGAUCGAAAGAUGAAAAGCACUUUGGAAAGAGAGUCAAAAAGCACGUGAAAUUGUUGAAAGGGAAGCGCUUGCAGCCAGACUUGCUCGUAGUUGCUCAUCCGAGCUUUUGCUCGGUGCACUCUUCUGCGAGCAGGCCAGCAUCAGUCCGGGCGGUUGGAUAAAGGCUCUGGGAAUGUAGCUCUCUUCGGGGAGUGUUAUAGCCCAGGGUGUCAUGCAACCAGUCUGGACUGAGGUCCGCGCAUCUGCUAGGAUGCUGGCGUAAUGGCUGUAAGCGGCCCGUCUUGAAACACGGACCAAGGAGUCUAACAUCUAUGCGAGUGUUUGGGUGUCAAGCCCGGGCGCGCAAUGAAAGUGAACGGAGGUGGGAACCCUUCGGGGCGCACCAUCGACCGAUCCUGAUGUCUUCGGAUGGAUUUGAGUAAGAGCAUAGCUGUUGGGACCCGAAAGAUGGUGAACUAUGCCUGAAUAGGGUGAAGCCAGAGGAAACUCUGGUGGAGGCUCGCAGCGGUUCUGACGUGCAAAUCGAUCGUCAAAUUUGGGCAUAGGGGCGAAAGACUAAUCGAACUAUCUAGUUAGACUGGUUCCUGCCGAGUCUC
rnacentral:rRNA from 1 species